rnacentral:rRNA from 1 species
UACAGAGGUGGCAAGCGUUGUUCGGAAUUACUGGGCGUAAAGGGCGCGUAGGCGGUUCGUUAAGUCCUGUGUGAAAUCCCCCGGCUCAACUGGGGAACUGCACAGGAAACUAGCGGGCUUGAGUUCGGGAGGGGGAAGCGGAAUUCCGGGUGUAGCGGUGAAAUGCGUAGAUAUCCGGAGGAACACCGGUGGCGAAGGCGGCUUCCUGGACCGACACUGACGCUGAGGCGCGAAAGCUAGGGGAGCAAACGGG